rnacentral:rRNA from 1 species
AUUGAACGCUGGCGGCAGGCCUAACACAUGCAAGUCGAACGGUAACAGGAAGCAGCUUGCUGCUUUGCUGACGAGUGGCGGACGGGUGAGUAAUGUCUGGGAAACUGCCCGAUGGAGGGGGAUAACUACUGGAAACGGUAGCUAAUACCGCAUAACGUCGCAAGACCAAAGAGGGGGACCUUCGGGCCUCUUGCCAUCGGAUGUGCCCAGAUGGGAUUAGCUAGUAGGUAGGGUAACGGCUCACCUAGGCGACGAUCCCUAGCUGGUCUGAGAGGAUGACCAGCCACACUGGAACUGAGACACGGUCCAGACUCCUACGGGAGGCAGCAGUGGGGAAUAUUGCACAAUGGGCGCAAGCCUGAUGCAGCCAUGCCGCGUGUAUGAAGAAGGCCUUCGGGUUGUAAAGUACUUUCAGCGGGGAGGAAGGGAGUAAAGUUAAUACCUUUGCUCAUUGACGUUACCCGCAGAAGAAGCACCGGCUAACUCCGUGCCAGCAGCCGCGGUAAUACGGAGGGUGCAAGCGUUAAUCGGAAUUACUGGGCGUAAAGCGCACGCAGGCGGUUUGUUAAGUCAGAUGUGAAAUCCCCGGGCUCAACCUGGGAACUGCAUCUGAUACUGGCAAGCUUGAGUCUCGUAGAGGGGGGUAGAAUUCCAGGUGUAGCGGUGAAAUGCGUAGAGAUCUGGAGGAAUACCGGUGGCGAAGGCGGCCCCCUGGACGAAGACUGACGCUCAGUGCGAAAGCGUGGGGGAGCAAACAGG